rnacentral:rRNA from 1 species
UACGAAGGGUGCAAGCGUUACUCGGAAUUACUGGGCGUAAAGCGUGCGUAGGUGGUUUGUUAAGUCUGCUGUGAAAGCCCCGGGCUCAACCUGGGAAUGGCAGUGGAUACUGGCAAGCUAGAGUGCGGUAGAGGGGUGUGGAAUUCCCGGUGUAGCAGUGAAAUGCGUAGAUAUCAGGAGGAACAUCGAUGGCGAAGGCAGCCCCUUGGACCUGUACUGACGCUCAUGCACGAAAGCGUGGGGAGCAAACAGG